GUGACUAUGCAUAUUGAUAAUCUCCGUCAGAUAGCAGGCGGACAUUUUGAAUGGUGCUUGGUGCAUGACGUUGCUUUGCCCCCCGCCCUGCCACCUUGGAGACCAGUUGGACCAUGCGAUGACUACAUGAUGUUUAUUUUUGUAAAUUCUGUACAACACAGCACAGCACAA